AUGAUGUUUAUUCAGCUUUCCGAUUAAUAGCUUUAACUAUGAUUUAUAAUUCUUUAAAUCUUUGCGUAAUCACGCCGCGCUCUCAUUGGCCACUUCCACUCUAAGUCCCGCCCACCCGCCUACGUCAGAUCAGACGUGUCGUUAGCCAUUUUGGUGCUCAGGGCUGCAAUAACACUCCAAUAAUCGCGUUAUUGUUGACGGAGGACCGGUUUUAUUUUCGGUGUUUGUGCCGCGGGAAUCAUGUCGGAGAAUCCGGACACGGACACUCUGGAGCUGGAGUCCGAAGAGAAGCAGGAUUCUCCAGAAAAGCCCUGUAACCCAGUACUGUCUGAAGAGGCCAAACUGAAGGAGAAAUAUCCGAACCUGGG